rnacentral:rRNA from 1 species
UGCCAGCCGCCGCGGUAAUACGUAGGGUGCAAGCGUUGUCCGGAAUUAUUGGGCGUAAAGAGCUUGUAGGCGGUUUGUCGCGUCUGCUGUGAAAUUUCGGGGCUCAACCCUGAACUUGCAGUGGGUACGGGCAGACUAGAGUGUGGUAGGGGAGACUGGAAUUCCUGGUGUAGCGGUGAAAUGCGCAGAUAUCAGGAGGAACACCGAUGGCGAAGGCAGGUCUCUGGGCCACUACUGACGCUGAGAAGCGAAAGCAUGGGGAGCGAACAGGAUUAGAUA